AUGCUCGCUUCGGCAGCACAUAUACUAAAAAACUACAACGAUACAGAGAAGAUUAGCAUGGCCCCUGUGCAAGGAUGACACACAAAUUCAUGAAGAGUUCCAUAUAAAA